GGCGGCGUAGCUCAGUUGGUCAGAGCAUUCGGUUCAUACCCGAAGUGUCGUUGGUUCAAAUCCGACCGCCGCUACCA
rnacentral:tRNA from 1 species